rnacentral:rRNA from 1 species
UACGAGGGGUGCAAGCGUUGCUCGGAAUUAUUGGGCGUAAAGGGUAGGUAGGUGGUCUCAUUUGUCUGGGGUGAAAGCCCAGGGCUUAACCCUGGAAGUGCCCUAGAAACGGUGAGACUCGAGUACUGGAGAGGGUCGUGGAAUUCCCGGUGUAGCGGUGAAAUGCGUAGAGAUCGGGAGGAACACCAGAGGCGAAGGCGGCGACCUGGACAGUUACUGACACUCAACUACGAAAGCGUGGGGAGCAAACAGG